UACGGAAGGCAGCAGUGGGGAAUAUUGCACAAUGGGCGAAAGCCUGAUGCAGCUAUGCCGCGUGUAUGAAGAAGGCCUUAGGGUUGUAAAGUACUUUCAUCGGGGAGGAAAAACAAAACUAAUAAUUUUAUUUCUUGACGUUACCCGAAAAAGAAGCACCGGCUAACUCCGUGCCAGCAGCCGCGGUAAUACGGAGGGUGCUAGCGUUAAUCAGAAUUACUGGGCGUAAAGAGCACGUAGGUGGUUUUUUUAAGUCAGAUGUGAAAUCCCUGGGCUUAACCUAGGAACUGCAUUUUGAAACUGAAAUACUAGAGUAUCGUAGAGGGAGGUAGAAUUCUAGGUGUAGCGGUGAAAUGCGUAGAUAUCUAGAGGAAUACCUGUGGCGAAAGCGGCCUCCUAAACGAAUACUGACACUGAGGUGCGAAAGCGUGGGGAGCAAACAGGGAUUAGAUACC
rnacentral:rRNA from 1 species